GAUGAAGAACGCAGCGAAAUGCGAUAAGUAAUGUGAAUUGCAGAAUUCAGUGAAUCAUCGAAUCUUUGAACGCACAUUGCGCCGGCCAGUAUUCUGGCGGGCAUGCCUGUCUGAGCGUCAUUUCAACCCUCAUGCCCCUAGGGCGUGGUGUUGGGGAUCGGCCAAAGCCCGCGAGGGACGGCCGGCCCCUAAAUCUAGUGGCGGACCCGUCGUGGCCUCCUCUGCGAAGUAGUGAUAUUCCGCAUCGGAGAGCGAUGAGCCCCUGCCGUUAAACCCCCAACUUUCCAAGGUUGACCUCAGAUCAGGUAGGAAUACCCGCUGAACUUAAGCAUAUCAAUAAGCGGAGGA
rnacentral:misc_RNA from 1 species